GCGCGUCGGGCGCGGCGGCGUGAGGGGGCAGCGGGGCCGGGGCCGCCGCCGCGCUGGAGGAGAUGGUGCUGGACCCGGGGGCGGCGGGCGGGCAGGGCCGUAGCGGGCUGGGCGCGCUGCCGGACCGCGAUGGCUCCCGGCUGUGCUCGUGCCCCUCUCCACCACCUCGCCCGGCGGCGUCCGGUUCACCCCGUUGCCCGCGGGGGACCCGGCGUUUGUCGGAAACCGGCGCCGGGAUGCGGCGGAGCGGCAGCGCGGGCGCGGUGAGCCGCGGGAGGAUGCGGGCCGCCGCCUCGCUGCCUCACAUCGCGCGGGCGCGGGCCGAGGAGGGCGGCGGGGCCGGGAGGCGCAGCCCCUGCCUGCUCGUAGCGCUGCGGCCGCGCAACGUGGAGGCCGAGCGGGAGCGGUUCUUCAGGGAGCGCUUCGCCUACGACCCGCAGUUCGAGUACGCCGAGCCGGUGCCCGAGGCCGUGCUGGAGAAGUACCGCGACGCCUCCGAUCGCUUCGUGGCGCAGGCCAUUAGGAUCAUUCAUGCUGUCCUGGAGAAGUAUGGGACCUAUGAGAGCUUCGAAGUUGCCACCGGUGGGAGACUGCUGAGCAAGUGCCAGAUCUGGUCUGUUAUCCGAAAGUACAUGCAGAAGGAAGGCUGUGCAGGGGAGGUAGUGGUGCAGCUCACCGAUGAUCUCCUGUCGCAGGCUGUGAUGAUGGUGGAGGACAGCCGGCCAACAUUGGCCAUCAACCUGUCUGGAGCCCGGCAGUACUGGCUGGAGGGCAUGCUGCGCCAUGAGAUAGGCACCCACUACAUCCGUGGGGUGAACAACACCCGCCAGCCCUGGCACAGCUCGGAGGGCCGCAAGCAGUACAGCCUGAAGCCUGCCAACCCCACAGAGGAAGGUUUGGCCAGCCUGCACAGUGUCCUCUUCCGCAAGCAGCCCUUCCUCUGGCGUGCAGCCUUGCUCUACUACACCAUUGAGCGGGCCAGCCGCCUCUCCUUCUCCGCGCUCUUCCAGGACCUGGAGCAGUACGUCCAGGAUGCUGGCAUCCGGUGGGAAUACUGCGUGCGGGCCAAGCGGGGCCAGACUGACACCUCACAGCCAGCAGCCCCAUCACCUCUCUGGCUGCUGUCCAUCAGGCAAGGAUGGAUGAGGCAUCCUGGGGAGCCCCGUGGAGUCAUCCCAGUCUGAUGGAUCUUAGCCAUUCCUUGCACAAUAUCUCAAGCAGCCGAAGGAGAAAAAAGAUAAGCCUUUUGAGGAUGCGUUUAGAUUCUAGCAUUUAAAAAAAAGCAAUCACAAAUCACGGUGAAAAUAGUGAGAGACUCCAGUGCCUGUCCCUUUUUCCUAAGGGCUGGGGAAUGGAGCCUCGCUGCACUCUGCUGCCCAGGCUUCUCCCUGGCAUGGGACCCCAGUACUGGCUCUGCUCAUCCUUUGAGUCUUUUCAUCCUGUCAGCCCCAACACAUUUGGGAAGGUAGGGUUUACCCUGGAGUCAUCUCCUGGUGUUUCCCAGGCCCUCUCUCUUUUCUAGGCUGCUUCAGUAAGGACCAGGUGUACCUGGAUGGGAUUCUCCGCAUCCUGCGACAUCGGCAGACAAUCGACUUCCCAUUGCUGGCUGCUCUUGGAAAGGUCUCCUACGAAGAUGUGAACCGCCUGAAGAAAUUUGGCGUCCUGGAGAAGGCUCGCAUCCCCCAUUUCAUGCAGGACCUGGAGCGGUACAUGAAGCAGCUCGACCACAUUGUCACCACCAACCAGCUGGAUGAGC